UACAGGGGGUGCAAGCGUUGCUCGGAAUCACUGGGCGUAAAGCGUACGCAGGCGGACCGUUAAGUCGGGUGUGAAAGCCCGGGGCUCAACCCCGGAACUGCAUUCGAUACUGGCGGUCUUGAAUACGGGAGAGGUGAGUGGAAUUCCUGGUGUAGAGGUGAAAUUCGUAGAUAUCAGGAGGAACACCGGUGGACGAAAGCGGCUCGCUGGACCCGAUGAU
rnacentral:rRNA from 1 species